rnacentral:tRNA from 1 species
UUUAAGAAAGCUCACUCUGAAGUAUCUUGUUGUUACCAAGAAGGGAAAGCUUGACUUUUUAGUGAAA